rnacentral:tRNA from 1 species
UGCAGCUCAGUGGUAGUGCUUGCCUAGCAUGCACAAAGCCCUGGGUUCAAUUCCCAGCUGGAG